rnacentral:ncRNA from 1 species
AUAAAAAUUAUGAUGGAAAGCAGUAAUUGUAUGAUUUAUAAAGAGAGGCAAUGGUUGGUGGAAAUUGCUUAAAGAGUACAAUGAAACAUUCAUUCCUGAAUUGCAGGCUGAAAAAAAUUUAAAUUUUUAGUAGGCUGAGCCGGAUACCUAACGUUAAUAAGGGUAUAAAGAGGAUUUGUGUCAAUCAAAUUGGGUGGUACCGCGAAUAAUAAUCGUCCCUUGU